GGUUAAGCGACUAAGCGUACACGGUGGAUGCCCUGGCAGUCAGAGGCGAUGAAGGACGUGCUAAUCUGCGAUAAGCGCCGGUAAGGUGAUAUGAACCGUUAUAACCGGCGAUUUCCGAAUGGGGAAACCCAGUGUGACUCGUCACACUAUCAUUAACUGAAUCCAUAGGUUAAUGAGGCGAACCGGGGGAACUGAAACAUCUAAGUACCCCGAGGAAAAGAAAUCAACCGAGAUUCCCCCAGUAGCGGCG
rnacentral:rRNA from 1 species